CAAGACCAAGACCAGGACUCCAGAGGAGAGACCAAAGUGGCCCCAAGAGCAGGUUUGCAAUGGUUUGGAGCAGCCGAGGAAACAGCAGCGCUCUGAUCUCAACGGACCUGUUGACAAUAACAACAUCCCAGAGACAAAGAAGGUGGCAUCAUUUCCAAGUUUUGUGGCUGUUCCAGGGCCCUGUGAGCCAGAAGACCUCAUUGAUGGGAUCAUCUUUGCUGCCAACUACCUGGGGUCGACACAGCUGCUUUCGGAGCGGAACCCUUCCAAAAACAUCAGGAUGAUGCAGGCGCAGGAGGCUGUCAGCCGGGUCAAGAGGAUGCAAAAGGCUGCUAAAAUCAAGAAGAAAGCGAAUUCUGAGGGGGAUGCCCAGACUCUGACCGAAGUGGACCUCUUCAUCUCCACCCAGAGGAUCAAGGUGUUAAAUGCGGACACACAGGAGACCAUGAUGGACCACGCCCUGCGCACCAUCUCCUACAUCGCAGACAUCGGAAACAUCGUGGUGCUGAUGGCCAGGCGCCGCAUGCCGAGGUCGGCCUCUCAGGACUGUAUCGAGACCACCCCUGGGGCCCAGGAGGGGAGGAAGCAGUACAAGAUGAUCUGCCACGUGUUCGAGUCCGAGGACGCCCUUCAGAAACCCAGUGUCAGCUGGAGGUCCUGUGCACCAUUGCAGGAAUGGAAGCAAUGGCAUUACCAUAAGUUUGCAGAGACUGUGAACACAGCUCCAUGUUGCUUCAUGAAGUAAGUUCUUCAAGAGCUAUUGAUAAAUGGAACCAUAGGAGUUCCCUGGUGGCUCAGUAGGUUAAGGGUCUGGCAUUGUCACUGCUAUGGUUCUGGUCACUGUUGCUGUGGCUCAGUUUCCAUCCCUGGUCUGGGAAUUUCCACAUGCUGUAGGCGCAGCCAAAAAGAAAAAGAUAAAAUGGAAGCAUGGUUCAAUAUAUGGAGGGAGCUCUCUAACAAGGUCCUUUAGCAAAAACUUCGUUCUCCCCAAAAUAGCCCUUGACUGACUUUUUUUGUUGUUCACACUCACGCAUGUCAGGGUUUCAAACCGAGAGGCACUUCUGCUUUUGCUCACGGCCACCUCAGUCCACACAAGCUAGAAAACACAGCGGACUCUUGGACAACACGGGUUUGAGCUGCGUGGGUCCACUUAAGGGUAGACCUCGUCAGUAGUAGAUACUACAUGUGACCGAGUUGCCUGAAUCUGCAGAUCCUGAACUGCAACACAGAGGAAUCGUAGCUAUGAAGGGCUGAGUAUAAGGUAGACACAGAUUUUUUUUUUUUUUUUAGACUAUGAAGAGUGUGCAUCCCUAACUCCCGUUUUGUUCAAGGAUCAGCUGUAAUUCUGAAGUUUAAAAUACUGCAGAGUCACUAAACACUUUGACUCUUUCCUUAAAUGGGAUGAGAGCAUCUUUCUGAGCCUGGAAGAGGCGGAAAGGGACUGAAGAAGGGAGCUCCACCCCUCUGCUCCCCACACCCCCCAAAGGCAGAUCUUACCCAGGAUGCCCCAGGAGGCAGCCACUGAUCUGUUCCUAUGAUGUCACCAGGCUAAGGUUUUAAAAACUUCUCUCUCCUCCAUGGACACUGGGAAAGGGCAUUCUCCUUCACCAAAGGACUUCAGGAUGUGUCAGGGGCCUGGAGCAAUGGGAAGGGUCCCACUGUUUUCGGGUUUGAAUGCAGGGUGGGUGGAGGCAUGCUUUGAAGCAAUGACAUUUAUUUAUUUAUUUAUUUAUUUAUUUAUUUAUUGCUUUUUAGAGCCAUACCCAUAGCAUAUGGAGGUUCCCAGGCUAGGGGUCUAAUCGGAACUACAGCUGUUGGCCUACUCCACAGCCACAGCAAUGCAGGAUCCGAGCUGCAUCUGUGACCUACACCACAGCUCACGGCAACACCAGAUCCUUAACCCACUGAGUGAGGCCACGGAUCGAACCUGCAACUUCAUGGUUCCUGGUUGGAUCCAUUUCCACUGUGCCACGACAGGAACUCCAAGCAAUGACACAUUUAUAGGAGAAGAGAUUUAAAUGCAUUUUUGUGUGCCUCACGGCUAGAGGAGGUCUCAGAGACCUGGUGUUGGGGGAAUGUGAUGGGCCUGGAGAAGGGCUGCUGUGAUGGGUGGGGUGCGGUGGGAAGCAGGUCAAGUUGCAGAGGGUGACAGUCUGGUAAGGGGAGCAGGAAGGAGCCCUGAGGUACCAGCCGUGUCCUGAGUGCUUAGGUGGCCUUGGUUUCUCAAUUCCGUGGGAGAGAAAGCUGAGAGCAAAGGCAGGAGUGGAUGGGGCUCCAGGUGGUCUUUGACGGCUUGAGGGAAAGACCAGUGGGAGGGGUGUGAAUGGGACAGAGCUGCUGCCCGGAGAGUCAGACCCUGAUGCCAGGUGGUGGCUCCCCCAAGUUGGUUGCUAGUGUGAGUGAGGGAUCCAAGAGUCUGGUGAGAGCAGAGUGGAGCACCUGGAGGAAAUGGAAGGUGGCCUUAAGGGUCAUGAUGGCCCCCUCAGAGUCUCUUUUUCCCCCCCUUUAAGGUGGAUACUGGUGUGGAUGAGCUGCAGAAAUGAAAGUCCUGGGGGCUGGGCAACUUCCUCUCCCCUCCUUCACCCACACACAGAGGCCACCUCUGAGUGCGCACCUCUGAUGCCAGCCCCUUGGGGGAGGCUCCCCCAGAGUCUGCUCGGGACUGUCCCCAGCCAGGGUAGGAGGGAUGCCAGGACGCCGGGCAGAUGGGGGUAUGGGAGACUGCAGCUUGCAACUGGUGGGAAGACACUGGACUGCAACCCACGGAGCCCAGGCAUGGACAGCCUCGGCCCCCAGGUAGUGGGCAGUGGGCGGAGUGAGGGGAAUAGAGCGAUGCUCUCACACACUCUUCCCAGCCAGGGAACAGAUGGACCCAGAAGCCUGGGGGCAGCAGGUGGUGGCAAACUCUAGACCUCAGUGGGGCAAGGCAGGUCCAGCUCUCUGGGGUGUCCUGUGCCUCUACCCCAAACACUUGGAUCAGCUUCCUCCCAGAAGCUCCAACCCCCAGCUUCCAUAACUCCCCAACCCAAGCCCUGCUGUGGUCUGGGCCAGUGGUGCCACCUGGUGGCCUCAGGGCUCCAUGCCUGGUCCUCCUUCAGCGAGCAACCAGACUGCCAAGAGGCUGCUCCUGGGUGUGGGCAGGGCUCCGUCCUGCAAGUGGACACAGGCUUCCCUCCUGCAGACUGUUUGGGGCCCAGUUGGGGAGGGCUGUCCAGUCGGUACUGUUUAAAGGAAGGACUCUGGCCUUGGCCUCUGUUACCCGGCCCAGCCCUUUCUUUCACAAGGGCUUUUUCAUUUGCAGCCUGUGAAUUGUGCAGCAUGUAGAGUGAAGUGGGCUUUAGGUCAAACCCCUUGAUUCCACCUGUUUGCAGGUCCUGUUGACCCAAGGUUUGCUGGGGGCACCUGUGCAGAGGCCCCUUUUUGGCAACAGGGAGGUAGAGGGUAAAUGGGUACUGGAGCCUCUGUGGCCUGGGGCUGAGGGAUCACUGGGGGUCCCACUGCUUCUCUUGGACUGCCCAGCUGCCAUUCACCUGACUCGUCCCGAGAGCUGGGUCUUAGCCCUUGUUUCCCGCCAUCCUUAUCUGUGCACCAGCAGGUGGCACAUAAGCCCCAUGUCCAGGCCUCUGCAGUGUCAGAGAUUCAGUAGAGUCCAUAGAUGUGGUCCUGUUGAAAUAGAAAGAAGUGAUUGCUCCAUGAUUUGCCCUGUGCUGGUGUCCCUGAGGCCCCAUGCUUCUUGGCCUCAGUCUGGUGCCUCCCCACAAAAGUGGCUGGCCACACACCCUGCCUCCCUGGCUGGAUGGGUCUUAUUGCUGCUGAGAGAUAAAGGCUUGAUGGAUGGCUAACAGUCUCUGUGAUGCUCCCCAGAGGACACUUCCAGUCUGUGUUUGGAAUAAGAUGGGUGGAAAGCAAAUACGGUGUAGUCACCAGUGAAAGCAGCAAAACUAUGAUAGGUAGCAAGUAAUUCAUAACAUCCCCAGACAUUAUUGGAAUCUGUUCUUAGUCUUAGGAUGUCUAAGACUUAUGGCAGCUGGGGUUGGGUCGGGCGGGGGCAGCAGGCCCUGAUGGGUCCAAGGCAGCACCCCCACAGAGACCCACAGUGGCAUGUGGGUGGGAGAUAGCUCUCUCAGGACCCAGGCCGCGGUCUCUCUGCUGCUUCCCUUAUUGAAGCCCAGGCAGGGGCCCCUUGCAGGCUGUGCCCUCCUCUCCAGUGGGCACCCCUCCCCACAGGCUCAGCUGAUCGCCCAGUCCAUCGGCCAGGCCUUCAGCGUGGCCUACCAGGAAUUCCUGCGGGCCAACGGCAUCAACCCUGAGGACCUGAGCCAGAAGGAGUACAGUGACAUCAUCAACACCCAGGAAAUGUACAACGACGACCUCAUCCACUUCUCCAACUCAGAGAACUGCAAGGAGGUGGGCGGUUCUGUGCGGGAACUUCUCAUGCAUCUCGGCGGAGGGGUGGGGCACUCUAGACCUUCCUGGAUGGGCACAGUCCCCUGAAACGCUGCCCAGAUGUCCCUCUCCUCCUGCCAUCAGAGCAGAGCACUUGUGUGUGUUGUGUGUGAAAUGAGGUGUCCUUGUAACAAAGAGGCUGAUGACAGUCUUAAUGACCUUGAGAAUGCGCCUUGUAGUGCUGCUGUUAGACAGUGCUCAGCUCCUGGGAGGUGUUUCUGAAAAGCAUGUGGGAGGCACCUUUGAAACUGAGGACUUGGAUGCUCUGCCCAGGGGAGUUAGGAAGCUGAGAGUAGUGGAGGCCUUGGCUGGUGCCAGUGGGCUGCUUAGGGGUGACUAGAAAGUUCUUCUGAGUCAAGAGAGCAAAUCCCUGGGUGUAGCCUGUACCCUCACAGCUUGUCAGUGAGUGACAAGCUGUGAUCCUGGCUGUUACUGAAUGAAUGAAGGACAGGCAGCUUUCUUAGAGUGACUCCUUAGGCGGAGAGAAAAUAGAAGGCCUUUUCUAGACAAGAGCGGAGGCUGGGGCAGGGUUUGUGUCUGGCCUCAGAACAUUCCUCUGGCCUCCAUGGGUUUGGGAGCCUCCAUGGGUUUGGGAGUGGUAAAGGAGCGGGAGCCAGGACACUGGGGUCAGUCUGAGGCUGGGGAAGUUGAUGCUGGCGGGGAGGGGAGGGAGUCUCUGCUCUGAUUCCCAAGGGUGGGUCCAAGGAGGGCUUGGGAGCCAGAGCUGGGCAUGGCCAGGGGGGCAGUGGGCAGCACCAAGGGCCCAGGGUCAGGCCGAUCCUUCCUCAGGUGCUGGGCAGAGGCCUGGUGCUCAGCCCCCAUCUCGGGUGCCUCUUACUCUGCCAAUUUCCUUGCAGCUGCAGCUGGAGAAGCACAAGGGAGAGAUCCUGGGCGUGGUGGUGGUGGAGUCGGGCUGGGGCUCCAUCUUGCCCACAGUGAUCCUGGCCAACAUGAUGAAUGGCGGCCCGGCUGCCCGCUCGGGGAAGCUGAGCAUCGGCGACCAGAUCAUGUCCAUUAAUGGCACCAGCCUGGUAGGGCUGCCCCUCGCCACCUGCCAGGGCAUCAUCAAGGGUCUGAAGAACCAGACACAGGUGAAGCUCAACAUCGUCAGCUGUCCUCCGGUCACCACCGUCCUCAUCAAGCGGCCAGACCUCAAGUACCAGCUGGGCUUCAGCGUGCAGAAUGGAAUCGUGAGUUCAGCCCUUGGGGGGCCUGAUGUGGGGAGCUGGGGGACAGCCCUCUGUCCCCUGGCCCUGGAACUAUUCCUACGACAGGGCAGGUCCUGGUGGGCAGGCAUGGCUGCCAGCAGGGCAGUCCUGGGCGGGGAGGGUGGGCCAGUGUGUGGUUGUGGAAUCCCUCCUUCCAGCCCUGCCCUCAGCACCCUCAUCCCUGUGAUGGUUAUUCUCUGCAGACCCUACUCUGCAGUGUUUGCAGGAACCCUUCUCACCCCUGCUGUCAGCACGUGCAGCCAAUGGCAGCGUCGGACUCACUCAUUCAUUUGCUAGGGCAUACUUGCUGCUGUAGAAUCUACUGCCCAGAUCUCAGCGUGCUGAGGGCUGAUUUCACACUCAGGUCACAGUCCAGUGUGGGAGGGGUCCCCAGGCAUACCCUCCCCCAGGGGUUGUCUGUGUCUGGCUGGCAGCUUCUGGGAGGCAGGGACAUAGACAUGGUUCAUGCCAUUUCUGCCCAUAUCCAUGUGGCCAGACAGAGCUCAGGCACAGGCCCUAUAAUACACAGGGCUGGCCAGGAAGGUGGUCCAGCUGGUGCCCAAGAUGAAGAGGGAGGGGGUGCGCAUGUAUCCAAAGCUGGUGUUGGCUGUGCUUUCCCAGCUCUGUGACACUGGGCAAGUCACUUAAUCCUGUCUGGGCUUCCCCUCAAAAGGUGACUAUAAAGACUGAGAAAAUUGGGAGUUCCCGUCAUGGCUCAGUGGUAACGAACCUGACUAGUAUCCUUGAGGUCGUGGGUUCAAUCCCUGGCCUCACUCAAUGGAUUAAUGCCAUGAGCUGUGGUGUAGGUAGCAGAUGUGGCUCGGAUCCUUUGUUGCUCUGGCUGUGGUGUAGCCCGGAAGCUACAGUUCUCUAGCCUGGGAACUUCCAUAUGCCUCAGGUACAGCCUUAAAAAGACAAAAAG
rnacentral:lncRNA from 1 species